AACGAACGCUGGCGGCAGGCUUAACACAUGCAAGUCGAACGCCCCGCAAGGGGAGUGGCAGACGGGUGAGUAACGCGUGGGAACAUACCCUUUCCUGCGGAAUAGCUCCGGGAAACUGGAAUUAAUACCGCAUACGCCCUACGGGGGAAAGAUUUAUCGGGGAAGGAUUGGCCCGCGUUGGAUUAGCUAGUUGGUGGGGUAAAGGCCUACCAAGGCGACGAUCCAUAGCUGGUCUGAGAGGAUGAUCAGCCACAUUGGGACUGAGACACGGCCCAAACUCCUACGGGAGGCAGCAGUGGGGAAUAUUGGACAAUGGGCGCAAGCCUGAUCCAGCCAUGCCGCGUGAGUGAUGAAGGCCUUAGGGUUGUAAAGCUCUUUCACCGAUGAAGAUAAUGACGGUAGUCGGAGAAGAAGCCCCGGCUAACGUCGUGCCAGCAGCCGCCGUAAAAC
rnacentral:rRNA from 1 species